rnacentral:rRNA from 1 species
UUCUGGAGAUAUGAGCUGAUCUAAUCACUGAAGAUAAGCAACAUCAGGUCUGGUCAGUAUAGAGAUGUGAGGGAUCUCCAAGAAAAACACAGGUGCUCCAGGAA